rnacentral:rRNA from 1 species
UACGUAGGGUGCAAGCGUUAAUCGGAAUUACUGGGUGUAAAGCGUGCGCAGGCGGUUUUGUAAGCCAGAUGUGAAAGCCCCGGGCUUAACCUGGGAAUGGCAUUUGGGACUGCAAGGCUGGAGUUUGGCAGAGGAGACUGGAAUUCCUGGUGUAGCAGUGAAAUGCGUAGAUAUCAGGAGGAAUACCGAUGGCGAAGGCAGGUCUCUGGGCUAUAACUGACGCUCAUGCACGAAAGCGUGGGGAGCAAACAGG